GUAAUCUUAUGCCCGUUUUCACCAACAACCUCUUACCGUUUCCCUAUCUAAAUGCUACUUUUAGUAAGGAUCCCUCCCAAUUUGACACCUACCUAAAUUCAUUUUCACCACACUUGUACAUGGAUCCCUUAAGUAAGUGACAGAUUACUAGUUCUACAAACGAUAAUGCAAAGUCGAUAUUUUAUCGAUAAAAUGAUUUUUCUGUACUUCUUAAGAAAUAAACGUCUAUCGAGUAUAUAUUACUAAAGCCUAUAAGUUUAUUUUGGCAGAGAAGAGAAAACGAGGAUAAACCUUUCUUGCAGAAGAAAAAGACAAGCUAGUGAAAUUGCUGACGUCUCAUAGAGACACAAUAUUAAACAAAAAACGGAUGGGACCACGAACGAAGCCAAAAACAAAGCUUGGAUCCAGUCACAAAUAGUUUUAAUGCGACAGGAACCCUUUACAGUUUCAGGUGGUGCGAGAAAUUGGAAAGACGUGUAAAAACAUGCUGCGCCCAGCCCACCUCAAAUUGAAUUGGUGCAGGAGGAUGAUGAUAAUGUUUGGUACAUCAUAUGAGGACUAAUAUUAAAAUAUUUGUUUACUA